UGAGAAUCGCCUGUGCUUGUAAGCACCAU
rnacentral:sRNA from 1 species